UAGGACUAAAGGUGUGUAAGCCACAUUGGA
rnacentral:piRNA from 1 species